GGCGGCGUGCUUACACAUGCAAGUCGAGCGAGAAAGCUACCUUCGGGUAGUGAGUAAAGCGGCGGACGGGUGAGUAACGCGUGAACAAUCUGUCCCUAAAUUGAGGAUAACUCGAUGAAAGUUGGGCUAAUCCUGAAUGAUCUAUAGAUGUGAUAACACACAUAUAGCAAAGGUGGUACUGCCAUCGUUUAGGGAGGGGUUCGCGUCGGAUUAGCUAGCUGGUAGGGUAACGGCUUACCAGGGCGACGAUCCGUAGCUGGUCUGAGAGGACGAUCAGCCACACUGGGACUGAGACACGGCCCAGACUCCUACGGGAGGCAGCAGUGGGGAAUCUUUCACAAUGGACGCAAGUCUGAUGAAGCAACGCCGCGUGAGUGAGGAAGGCCUUUUAGGUUGUAAAGCUCUGUUGCCGGGGAAGAAGGUUAGUGUAAGGAAAUGUGCAUUAAUUGACGGUACCCGGUGAGGAAGCACUGGCUAACUACGUGCCAGCAGCCGCGGUAACACGUAGAGUGCAAGCGUUGUCCGGAAUCAUUGGGCGUAAAGGGUACGCAGGCGGAUAUACAAGUCAAAUGUGAAAGGUGUGGGCUUAACCUACAGACUGCGUUUGAAACUGUAUAUCUUGAGAGCAGCAGAGGAAGGCGGAAUUCCUGGUGUAGUGGUGAAAUACGUAGAUAUCAGGAAGAACACCAGUGGCGAAGGCGGUCUUCUGGGCUGCAUCUGACGCUCAUGUACGAAAGCUGGGGUAGCGAACGGGAUUAGAUACCCCGGUAGUCCCAGCUGUAAACGAUGGACACUAGGUGUUGGCGGUUCGAAUCCGUCAGUGCCGGAGUUAACGCAUUAAGUGUCCCGCCUGGGGAAUACGGUCGCAAGACUGAAACUCAAAGGAAUUGACGGGGGCCCGCACAAGCGGUGGAGCAUGUGGUUUAAUUCGAUGCAACGCGAAGACCUUACCGAGAAUUGACAUCCCGUGACUACCUGUGAAACCAGGUUUGGCACUUGU
rnacentral:rRNA from 1 species